rnacentral:rRNA from 1 species
AGUAAUGCAUCGGAACGUAUCCUGUAGCGGGGGAUAACCUGUCGAAAGAUAGGCUAAUACCGCAUACGCCCUGAGGGGGAAAGCGGAGGACCGCAAGGCUUCGCACUAUAGGAGCGGCCGAUGUCGGAUUAGCUAGUUGGUGGGGUAACGGCUUACCAAGGCGACGAUCCGUAGCUGGUCUGAGAGGACGACCAGCCACACUGGAACUGAGACACGGUCCAGACUCC